ensembl:lncRNA
GGCCAGUGAGGAGGCAGCGACAGGGCCCGAGGGACAAAUCGAGACAGCAGGUCUUACAGAGUGUUUUGGGAACGGGUUUCUAGGUGUGGUUGCCCCCACCCCUGCAUUCGAGAACCAGGUAGGUGAGAAGCCUGCCACAGUGGCUUGUUGCUCCCAUGGGCAUUUCAGAAAUGGCGGGAAACGUUGCCAUGGAAACGGGGUGCUAUAGGCAUUGCAGGUGGGGGCCUGGGAUGUGAGCGGCAUCCUGCCCAGCAGGGUGAUUUUGCCAUCUGGGGACCUUCAGCGGUGUCUGAGACAUUGCUGAUGAUCACAGACCCGGGGCAGGGGAGCCACCAGCAGGUUGUAGGGGGAAGCCGGGGGAGCUGCCAAAGGCCACGCAGUACAUGGCAGCACGUCCCUAGCCCCUAGCGUCUGGUGGAGGAAUCCCGGUGUAGGUGAAAACCCGGUUAGGAGCCGUCAGAGUCUGGAAGCUUCUUCCGUUUUCCAACACAGAAUUUCCUAGGGAUGCAACACACAUGGACAUCUAGUGGAGACGGAACCUCGUUUCAUUCGGAAAUUUACCAGGAGUCGUUCACGGUUUGGAAAAAUCAGGUCCCUAAGAUGACACAGUGGCCUCGGCAGGCACACGAGCCUGUCUGUGUCUGCAGCGACCACCACCUGGCAGCCUCUCCGUGCCCAGCAGCUGGGUCCUCUGGAGGUCGGACACCCGGGAAUCAUCAUGGAAGACUUACUGUGUGCUGGGAGUAAGGCCAGGCCUCUGCCUUCGAGGAGGAUCUGGCCCAGUGUGGAGAGAAGCAAUGAGCAGAGGUGGCCACGUGGGCACAGAAUAGGCCCCACAUCCAGGCUGGGGACCAGGAUGGCUUCCUGAAGAAGGUGACAACCGGGCUGACUCACAAGAGACAGAUGAACAUACAGGUGGGAGGGGGGUGCAGGCCUGGGAGAUAGCAUGGGCCAGGCAAGCGGGGACUCACAGGCACAGCUGGGGUCAGUGGCUUUCAAGAGACUGACCCCACAUUCCAGCUUGCUGGACUCCCUGGUUUAUAGCUGCUAUUCUGGUGUAUAGAACCCCUUUCAUUUUCAAAAGCAUCCCAGUGUUGAUUGUAAGUUAAAUGGUCUCCCUGCUGAGAUAUCCCCGUGAAGGGUUGGCUCUCACCGCCCCCCCCCCCCAUGGCUGCACUGAGCUAGGACAGUUAAGGAUGGGGGAGGGGGACUAGAUUUGCACUCUGGAGCAAUCCUGGGGUGGCAAGGAAACAGCUGUCAGCCCCAAGGAAAGGGUGGGUGGCAGAGAGUAUCAGAUGUCUGGGGUGCGUGGUACAGAGUGGUGAAGGCCCAAGGUGGGGGCAGCCUGAGCUCAGAAAGCGGAGACAGAAAGAGGACCCUAUGGGGCAACACACCCAUCCUUGUUCAUUCUAGAAGCACCGAGUGUGCAAGUUGGCCCCUUAAUCCCGGAUGAGGGGGUCCCUACCAUAGACCCCUACACCAUAGCCACAAUGUCACCAACAUCAAAUACGAAGAUUUUUUUUUGAAGUUCAGUCUCAUAGGACAUUUUAGAGUUUGAUAACUACCCGAACAAAGGUGACUUGUGGGAGAGGAACAGGUGUAAUACAAGGGCCCCCCAGGCUGGAAGACACUGGGCUAAGAGCAGUGAGUGAGUGAGUGAGUGUGUGUGUGUGUGUGUGUGUGUGUGUGUGUGUGUGUGUGUAGGGGGCAGGUACACCCUCCAC